GGAAUCUUCGGCAAUGGGGGCAACCCUGACCGAGCAACGCCGCGUGAGUGAAGAAGGUCUUCGGAUCGUAAAGCUCUGUUGUUGGUGAAGAAGGAUAGAGGCAGUAACUGGUCUUUAUUUGACGGUAAUCAACCAGAAAGUCACGGCUAACUACGUGCCAG
rnacentral:rRNA from 1 species